AUUGAACGCUGGCGGCAGGCCUAACACAUGCAAGUCGAACGAGUGGCGGACGGGUGAGUAAUGUCUGGGAAACUGCCCGAUGGAGGGGGAUAACUACUGGAAACGGUAGCUAAUACCGCAUACCAUCGGAUGUGCCCAGAUAGAAUUAGCUAGUCGGUGGGGUAACGGCUCACCUAGGCGACGAUCCCUAGCUGGUCUGGGAGGAGGACCAGCCAGACUGGAACUGAGACUCGGUCCAGACUCCGACGUGAGGCAGCAGUGGGGAAUAUUGCACAAUGGGCGCAAGCCUUAUGCAGCCAUUCCGCGUGUAUGAAGAAGGCCUUCGGGGUGUAAAGUACUUUCAGCGAGGAGGCGUUACUCGCAGAAGAAGCACCGGCUAACUCCGUGCCAGCAGCCGCGGUAAUAC
rnacentral:rRNA from 1 species